AUACGUAGGUGGCAAGCGUUGUCCGGAUUUACUGGGUGUAAAGGGUGCGUAGGCGGGACUGCAAGUCAGGCGUGAGAUACCGAGGCUCAACCUCGGGGCUGCGUUUGAAACUGUGGUUCUUGAGUGAAGUAGAGGCAGGCGGAAUUCCUAGUGUAGCGGUGAAAUGCGUAGAUAUUAGGAGGAACGCCAGUGGCGAAGGCGGCCUGCUGGGCUUUAACUGACGCUGAUGCACGAAAGCAUGGGGAGC
rnacentral:rRNA from 1 species